UUAAAAGUAGUAUAAAUAAUACAUUAGUUUUAGGGGCUAAAAAUAAGGAAUUCUUCUUUUAAU
rnacentral:tRNA from 1 species